GAUGAACGCUAGCGGCAGGCUUAACACAUGCAAGUCGAGGGGUAACAUUGUAGCUUGCUACAGAUGACGACCGGCGCACGGGUGCGUAACGCGUAUACAAUCUACCUUUUGCUGAGGGAUAGCCCAGAGAAAUUUGGAUUAAUACUUCAUGGUAUGUAUGGAUGGCAUCAUCUAUAUAUUAAAGGAUACGGCAAAAGAUGAGUAUGCGUUCUAUUAGCUAGAUGGUGUGGUAACGGCACACCAUGGCGACGAUAGAUAGGGGCCCUGAGAGGGGGAUCCCCCACACUGGUACUGAGACACGGACCAGACUCCUACGGGAGGCAGCAGUGAGGAAUAUUGGACAAUGGAGGCAACUCUGAUCCAGCCAUGCCGCGUGCAGGAAGACUGCCCUAUGGGUUGUAAACUGCUUUUAUACAGGAAGAAACACACGCUCGUGAGCGUGUCUGACGGUACUGUAAGAAUAAGGAUCGGCUAACUCCGUGCCAGCAGCCGCGGUAAUACGGAGGAUCCAAGCGUUAUCCGGAAUCAUUGGGUUUAAAGGGUCCGUAGGUGGAUAAUUAAGUCAGAGGUGAAAUCCUGCAGCUCAACUGUAGAAUUGCCUUUGAUACUGGUUAUCUUGAGUUAUUAUGAAGUAGUUAGAAUAUGUAGUGUAGCGGUGAAAUGCAUAGAUAUUACAUAGAAUACCAAUUGCGAAGGCAGAUUACUAAUAAUAUACUGACACUGAUGGACGAAAGCGUGGGGAGCGAACAGGAUUAGAUACCCUGGUAGUCCACGCCGUAAACGAUGGUCACUAGCUGUUCGAACUUCGGUUUGAGUGGCUAAGAGAAAUUGAUAAGUGACCCACCUGGGGAGUACGUUCGCAAGAAUGAAACUCAAAGGAAUUGACGG
rnacentral:rRNA from 1 species